rnacentral:rRNA from 1 species
CCAACAGGGAUUGCCUCAGUAACGGCGAGUGAAGCGGCAACAGCUCAAAUUUGAAAUCUGGCCUCCGGGCCCGAGUUGUAAUUUGCAGAGGGAGUUUCGGCGGCGGCGCCGGCCUAAGUCCCUUGGAACGGGGCGUCAUAGAGGGUGAGAAUCCCGUAUGUGGCCGGCGGUCAAUUCCAUGUGAAACCCCUUCGACGAGUCGAGUUGUUUGGGAAUGCAGCUCAAAAUGGGUGGUAAAUUUCAUCUAAAGCUAAAUACCGGCCAGAGACCGAUAGCGCACAAGUAGAGUGAUCGAAAGAUGAAAAGCACUUUGGAAAGAGAGUUAAACAGUACGUGAAAUUGUUGAAAGGGAAGCGCUUGCAACCAGACUUGCUCGCGGGUGAUCAGCCUCCCGUGAGGGGGGUGCACUCGCCCGCGAUCAGGCCAGCAUCGGUUUUGGCGGGCGGAUAAAGUCCCCAGGAAUGUAGCUCCCCUCGGGGAGUGUUAUAGCCUGGGGCGGAAUGCGCUCAACCGGGACCGAGGACCGCGCUUCGGCUAGGAUGCUGGCGUAAUGGUUGUAAGCGACCCGUCUUGAAACACGGACCAAGGAGUCUAACAUCUAUGCGAGUGUUUGGGUGUGAAACCCAUGCGCGGAAUGAAAGUGAACGGAGGUGGGAACCCUCUCGGGGGCGCACCAUCGACCGAUCCUGAUGUCUUCGGAUGGAUUUGAGUAGGAGCAUGGCUGUUGGGACCCGAAAGAUGGUGAACUAUGCCUGAAUAGGGUGAAGCCAGAGGAAACUCUGGUGGAGGCUCGCAGCGGUUCUGACGUGCAAAUCGAUCGUCAAAUUUGGGUAUAGGGGCGAAAGACUAAUCGAACCAUCUAGUAAAAGCCACUUCUACUAGAGAUACCGGGAGCCGCCCAGGCUCCAGUAGUCCCCAUGUACGGGGGCAACACUGUCGGUCUCCGGGGAUGCCUUUCGGGCUACCCGCACUGAGCCCAGGCUCAGUCACAGACUAAUUGACGGUGGCCGCGUCUCCGCGGUUAGGAUAUAGUCGGCGGGGCCCUUGACGGGGCGCCUGUCCGCGAGCUGGUUUCANNNNNNNNNGCCGAAGUUUCCCUCAGGAUAGCAGUAACGUUUUCAGUUUUAUGAGGUAAAGCGAAUGAUUAGAGGCCUUGGGGCUGAAACAGCCUUAACCUAUUCUCAAACUUUAAAUAUGUAAGAAGUCCUUGUUACUUAGUUGAACGUGGACACUCGAAUGCACCGUUACUAGUGGGCCAUUUUUGGUAAGCAGAACUGGCGAUGCGGGAUGAACCGAACGCGAGGUUAAGGUGCCGGAAUGCACGCUCAUCAGACACCACAAAAGGUGUUAGUUCAUCUAGACAGUUGGACGGUGGCCAUGGAAGUCGGAAUCCGCUAAGGAGUGUGUAACAACUCACCAACCGAAUGAACUAGCCCUGAAAAUGGAUGGCGCUCAAGCGUGCUACCCAUACCUCGCCGCCAGGGUAGAAACGAUGCCCUGGCGAGUAGGCUGACGUGGGGGUCAGUGACGAAGCCUUGGGAGUGAUCCCGGGUCGAACGGCCCCUAGUGCAGAUCUUGG